rnacentral:rRNA from 1 species
AUUGAACGCUGGCGGCAGGCCUAACACAUGCAAGUCGAACGGUAACAGGAAGCAGCUUGCUGCUUUGCUGACGAGUGGCGGACGGGUGAGUAAUGUCUGGGAAACUGCCCGAUGGAGGGGGAUAACUACUGGAAACGGUAGCUAAUACCGCAUAACGUCGCAAGACCAAAGAGGGGGACCUUAGGGCCUCUUGCCAUCGGAUGUGCCCAGAUGGGAUUAGCUAGUAGGUGGGGUAGCGGCUCACCUAGGCGACGAUCCCUAGCUGGUCUGAGAGGAUGACCAGCCACACUGGAACUGAGACACGGUCCAGACUCCUACGGGAGGCAGCAGUGGGGAAUAUUGCACAAUGGGCGCAAGCCUGAUGCAGCCAUGCCGCGUGUAUGAAGAAGGCCUUCGGGUUGUAAAGUACUUUCAGCGGGGAGGAAGGGAGUAAAGUUAAUACCUUUGCUCAUUGACGUUACCCGCAGAAGAAGCACCGGCUAACUCCGUG